CCUACGGGCGGCAGCAGUGGGGAAUAUUGCACAAUGGGGGGAACCCUGAUGCAGCGACGCCGCGUGAGUGAAGAAGGACUUCGGUAUGUAAAGCUCUAUCAGCCGGGAAGAAAAUGACGGUACCUGACUAAGAAGCCCCGGCUAACUACGUGCCAGCAGCCGCGGUAAUACGUGGGGGGCACGCGUUAUCCGGAUUUACGGGGUGGAAAGGGAGCGUAGGUGGCAGAGCAAGUCUGAAGUGAAAGCCCGCGGCCCAACGGCGGGACUGCUUUGGAAACUGCCCGGCUAGAGUGCUGGAGAGGUAAGCGGAAUGCCUGGUGUAGCGGUGAAAUGCGUAGAUAUUAGGAGGAACACCAGUGGCGAAGGCGGCUUACUGGACAGUAACUGACGUUGAGGCUCGAAAGCGUGGGGAGCAAACAGGAUUAGAUACCCGGGUAGUC
rnacentral:rRNA from 1 species